UACGUAGGGUGCGAGCGUUAAUCGGAAUUACUGGGCGUAAAGCGUGCGCAGGCGGUUGUGCAAGACCAGAUGGUGAAAUCCCCGGGCUUAACCUGGGAAUUGCAUUUGUGACUGCACGGCUAGAGUGUGUCAGAGGGGGGUAGAAUUCCACGUGUAGCAGUGAAAUGCGUAGAUAUGUGGAGGAAUACCGAUGGCGAAGGCAGCCCCCUGGGAUAACGACUGACGCUCAGGCACGAAAGCGUGGGGAGCAAACAGG
rnacentral:rRNA from 1 species